rnacentral:lncRNA from 1 species
GCUGAAUGGACUCACAAGAAUGCUUUGCCAACUCCCCAAGGCUGGGGCAAAGGCGCCGGCUGCCCCCUCCUCCCAGCCCUGCACAGCGAGGUGUCUGGCCUGGCAGUGCCUGGCUGGCCACACUGUCCUCCUCGGUUCUGCCUGGGGCUGAAAGGAGCAGGCCACGGGGCUAGGAGGAGAAUGGUGGUUCCUACAGGGGCGUGAGUGACCGGCUUUGAGGGUGCAGGUUAUGAGGGGCUACAGGAGGUGGACAAGAUUGCCAAGGACCUGGAGUGCUUUUCCUCUUCUGGUUCUUUGUUCCCCAGAGGGCCCUUUGGAUUGACUGGGACCCCCCAGGAGCGGUCGGUCCCACCCUCGGUCGAGCAUGCUGCCAGCUGGCUACUGGAUGUGGGCAGGAGCUGAACACCCCAGGCUUUUUUCAGCCUCCCAUUUGUUCCUUGUAAUACAGGUGCCUCUAAGUGUGUGUGUGGGGGGCUCUCAGGAGAGACAGGAAGCCGAAGCGCAGGAAAGUGAGAAGGGCUGGGGCGUGAGCGCCUUUGAGCCUCCACACCCUCCCCUGUCCUCCCUCGGUUCCACUAUGGCUCUCACCUUUAGAUUCCUCUUGGCUUGAAGGGCUGCCCCUUGCUCUAGUAUAAAACCAGGUGCUCUUGGUCCUCAUUUGUCCCCUUCUCAGGAAAGCUUAGCUCGGGGCUGACAGCUUUGCUUCCCAGGGCAGGCGCACCUCACGCUGGCCCGUGGGUUUCCUCGCUGCGGAGCAGAAGUCUGGCCGCUCUAGCCUUGAAGUGUUGCUGACAUAUCUCUGUCUAUGAACCCCCAGCAGCCAGGCAUGAACUCCCAGCUCAGCAGCUUUACCGUGGGGGCUGUAGCCUCAUGGUUGCAUCUAGCUCCUCAGAUGGACCUGACCCUUGCUGGAGAGGGGUUGACAAGUUGUGGGAAGAAGCUGUGCUCCCAGGUUUUCUCAGGAGCAGGAGACAGCAAAGGGGUCUCACACACAAACUCUUAAUAGCAACCCCAUUUUAUUGGUUAUUUAUUUUACUCCCAUAUAGUAUGUAUUUCAGUAAGUGCAUGCAUGCAUUUAUAUAUACAUGUUUUGAAUCAUUUAAUCCCCAGUACAACCCAAAGAAGAGGUACUUUCCCACUUCAUGGACAAGAAGCUGAGGCCCAGAGAAGGGAGAUACGCUGUCCUCGUGGUAGUGAUGUAGUGGGUUCCCUUCUCUGCACUCAAGCCUGGGCAGCUUGGCCUGGAGUCUGCACUCUGACCCGGUACUGUGCUACCUGGGUGAGGAGACUUUGGAGGAGGCCAGAGGGGACCGUGUGGACAAAGGCUGGGAGGCUUGGGACGGUCAGUUUGUAAGUGGGUGGACAUCCCAUCACACCAUUGUCAAUGCCGUUUAUGAAGUAGUGAGGGUGGCACCAGCAACAUGGAAACGCACAGGAGGGACAGACCCCUAAUGGUUCCAGAGAGCUACUUGGUUAAAGAGCAGUUUCUUGAGGGCUUUGGUGAUCACUGCACAGGAGCUGGCUGGCAUCAGGAAACUCCAGAAAGAAGGAAGAAGGAAUGCAGAAGGAAUGGAAAAGUUUUCCCAGGCUUCACAUGCAGACAGAGGUUGUGUCUAUAUUGUUUGCCAGUGAAUUCCCAAGGCUUUGUGUGGCAGGCAGACAGAGGUUUGGAUUAAUGUAGUCAUUGCUGUACACCAAGGUUCGGGUUAGUGACAGCCCACAUACUAGACAGUGGCCCCAUAAGAUCAUGCUGGAGGUAAAAAAUUUCUGUCACCUAAUGACAUUAUAGUCAUUGUAAAAUGUAGUGCAUACAACAUAUUACUCACGUUUGUGAUGCUGGUCUAAACAAACCUACUAUGCAGCCAGUCAUGUAACUACACAACUACAUAUAGUACAUAACACUUGAUAAUGCAAAUAAAUGACUGUGC